rnacentral:rRNA from 1 species
AGUAACGGCGAGUGAAGCGGUAACAGCUCAAAUUUGAAAUCUGACCUUCACGGGUCCGAGUUGUAAUUUGUAGAGGAUGUUUCGGACAAGGCUUUGGUUUAAGUUUCUUGGAACAGAACGUCAUAGAGGGUGAGAGUCCCGUCUAGAACCGAUAGCCGCGUUCAUGUGAAACUCCUUCGACGAGUCGAGUUGUUUGGGAAUGCAGCUCAAAAUGGGUGGUAAAUUUCAUCUAAAGCUAAAUAUUGGCCAGAGACCGAUAGCGCACAAGUAGAGUGAUCGAAAGAUGAAAAGCACUUUGAAAAGAGAGUUAAACAGUAUGUGAAAUUGUUGAAAGGGAAGCGCUUGCAACCAGACUUGUGUUUAACGGUUCCCCUGUGUCUUUUGACCGGGCUAUUCCGUUAUAUCCAGGCCAGCAUCGGUUCGGGUGGUUGGUU